UACAGAGGUCCCAAGCGUUGUUCGGAUUCAUUGGGCGUAAAGGGUGCGUAGGCGGCGCGGUAAGUCGGGUGUGAAAUCUCGGAGCUUAACUCCGAAACUGCAUUCGAUACUGCCGUGCUUGAGGACUGGAGAGGAGACUGGAAUUUACGGUGUAGCGGUGAAAUGCGCAGAUAUCAGGAGGAACACCGGUGGCGAAGGCGGUUCUCUGGGAAUAUCCUGACGCUGAGGAGCGAAAGUGUGGGGAGCGAACAGG
rnacentral:rRNA from 1 species